CGCGCAGGCGGUCGAUCAAGUCGAGUGUGAAAGCCCCCGGCUCAACUGGGGAGGGUCAUUCGAAACUGGUCGACUCGAAGGCAGGAGAGGGUAGUGGAAUUCCCGGUGUAGUGGUGAAAUGCGUAGAUAUCGGGAGGAACACCAGUGGCGAAGGCGACUACCUGGCCUGUUCUUGACGCUGAGGCGCGAAAGCUAGGGGAGCAAACGG
rnacentral:rRNA from 1 species